GGGGCUAUAGCGCAGCUGGUAGCGCACCUGCAUGGCAUGCAGGGGGUCAGGGGUUCAAAUCCCCUUAGCUCCA
rnacentral:tRNA from 8 species